GAUGAAGAACGUAGUGAAAUGCGAUAAUUAAUGUGAAUUGCAGAAUUCAGUGAAUCAUCGAGUCUUUGAACGCACAUUGCGCCCCCUGGUAUUCCGGGGGGCAUGUCUGUCCGAGCGUCAUUGCUGCCCUCAAGCACGGCUUGUGUGUUGGGCUUCCGUCCCUGACAACGGGGACGGGCCCAAAAGGCAGUGGCGGCACCAUGUCUGGUCCUCGAGCGUAUGGGGCUUUGUCACCCGCUCCCGUAGGUCCAGCUGGCAGCUAGCCUCGCAACCAAUCUUUUUAACCAGGUUGACCUCGGAUCAGGUAGGGAUACCCGCUGAACUUAAGCAUAUCAAUAAGCGGAGGA
rnacentral:misc_RNA from 1 species